rnacentral:rRNA from 1 species
UACGUAGGGGGCAAGCGUUGUCCGGAAUCAUUGGGCGUAAAGCGCGUGUAGGCGGCUUGGUAAGUCCGCUCUGAAAGCCCGGGGCUCAACCCCGGGAGGCGGGUGGAUACUGUCAAGCUCGAGUCCGGAAGAGGCGAGUGGAAUUCCUGGUGUAGCGGUGAAAUGCGCAGAUAUCAGGAAGAACACCAACGGCGAAGGCAGCUCGCUGGGACGGUACUGACGCUGAGGAGCGAAAGCAUGGGGAGCGAACAGG